GGAGUUUGGGCCGUGUCUCAGUCCCAAUGUGGCCGGUCAUCCUCUCGGAUCGGCUACUGAUCGUCGUCUUGGUGGGCCGUUACCCCGCCAACUAACUAAUCAGACGCGGGUCCAUCUCACACCACCGGAGUUUUUACCCCUGUACCAUGCGGUACUGUGGUCUUAUGCGGUAUUAACAGCCGUUUCCAACUGUUAUCCCCCUGUGUGAGGCAGGUUGCAUACGCGUUACGCACCCGUGCGCCGGUCGCCAGCAGAGUAUUGCUACUCCCUGCUGCCCCUCGACUUGCAUGUGUUAAGCCUGCCGCUAGCGUUCAUC
rnacentral:rRNA from 1 species